AGAAGCUGUCGGUAUCCGAAAGUAAAAAAGACGCGACACGUCUGGUGGUGGGGAGAGUAGUGGCACCUGCUGGGGACGAAUAUUCCAGGGGAUGGGACUGACUCCCACAGAUAAUGUGCUGCUGGACAUACCAAAUUCCACAGACUGAAAGGGAAUCAUGUGUCUUCUGCAGGGACCUUUUCCCUACCCUACUUGGGCACACGGUGAUCCAACCCCAUUGUGAAAUGACAGAUUCUGCAAUAUAAAAUCCAUCUGCUUUCUAGGGAAUCUGCACACAGCCCAUUAUGGAAAGUAGAGUGACUUAGUCCCAGAAUCCAUUGCUUCACAGUGGAACAAGGUGAGGGAGGGGAGGCAUUACACUGUGAACCUAUGGGACAUUGAGCAAUGGUUUGUAUGAGAAAAAUUGCUUCCUAUCAUUUUGUGGAAUCAGGGAUGUCUAUGUAAAAAAAUAAUUUAUAUCUGGAAGUUCAGAUAGUAUUCAUGCACCUUUUCUACAUAACGGACUGUGCUUGUGUAAAUAUGGGGUAUUUUUCCCUUUAAAUGCCUUGAGCAAAAUGUUAUAUCUUGUGUGUAGAUCCACACAAUAGUUAUUUUUGUUCUAUCACA